rnacentral:rRNA from 1 species
UACGUAGGGUGCACGCAUUUAUCGGAUUUAUUGGGCGUAAAGGGCGCGUAGGCUGGAGCGUAAGUCAGAUGUGAAAUCCCGGGGCUCAACCCCGGAACUGCAUUUGAAACUGUGUUUCUAGAGGGUAGGCGGAGAAAACGGAAUUCCACAAGUAGCGGUGAAAUGCGUAGAUAUGUGGAAGAACACCAGUGGCGAAGGCGGUUUUCUAGCUUAUACCUGACGCUGAUGCGAGAAAGCAAGGGGAGCAAACAGG